GUGCGAAUAGCCACAGUUAAAAUUGUUAUUUUGCUGAAACUGCAUUACCUGUUUCGAACAGUCCGAGUAGCUGCUCCAUCUGCAAAAAAGCUUUGCAAAAGCCGGUAAACUGGCUUGUCUAGAAUGGGAAGAAGCCUAGGAUCGCGGUGUCCACACGAUCCCGAUGUAUGGGGCUACCAAACCUGGAGCUGUAUUACAAGGCGGUUAUCCUAAACAGCCUAUUGUCAGCUCAACAUUGCCCCAGCACACUGCAGUGGGUACAAAUUGAACGACACUGGACGGAACAUUGACAUAUCGACCUUAGUCUGGCUAACCCGGUACCAAAGGCGAGAUCUUACACAAGCACUCCCUACCACGAUCACGACCCUAAAAGUUUGGGACUCCUCACGAAGGCUCCUUUGUAGAUGCCACCCUACUUCCCUGGCUACGCCUAUCAAGGCCUUAGUCUUUUAAAAUCCCAGAGUUUAAUUUUAAAAUAUGGAACAGAUGCAACGUAAAAUACAUCUUUGAUUUACAAUCUCAAGGGAAAUUUGAAAAUUACAUGAACUAUACACAGUCCCAAAAGUAGCAAAGUUCUCUUAUUUGCAACUAUGUUCCCGGUGGAAAAACCCACAUAAUUACACCUACCAUACAAAAACAAACCAAUCUAGUAAAUGGUUUUGAACAAUCCCUCAUGACAGCUGAGCCAGUAAAGAAACAGAUUUCCACAAUAUAAUCCCUGCUAAACGCACCUACAAACCUUAGAAACCCUCCUUGUGUAAAAGCAUGGGAACAAGAUUUGGGAUGCCAGAUUUCGGAAAAGUCCUGGCUUCGAGCAAUCAACACUCAGAGGUCUCAACGCUUGUGCAUCCCAUAUGGAAUUGUCGCACAAACUCUUUUAUAGAUUGCAUAUUUUUGUUCGAUGACCCAUAGCCCAAAGCUGCUAAAUAUUUGAUCUUUCAUAUUCUAAUUGCAGCGCUACCGCUUAUUGCUAAACAAUGGCUCUCCACAUCCACUGCAACAAUGCAGGAGCUUAUCAGAUACAACUCUCAAGUAGGUCAACACGAACAGGUCACAGGUAAUUUAACACUAAAACAAAGUUGGAGACAUGAAGUGUGGGAAACCUGGGCCUCAAAACACCCAACUUGAGCCCUUAAAAGUCUCAUAGCACACAUACACGUCAAAUAGUAUAUACUGAUACCUUAUCGAGAAGUGAGCUAUUAGUGCUAGUUUUGUUUGGACCUAUGCUGGAGCUCUUGUUCCCUUCCCACACCCUUACCCCUUCUGUUCAACCAAGCUCUAACCCUAUGCCUUACAAGUGUAUGCAUGUUAUUUUAGUCGUAUUACAACUGUGUACCAAUUGUAAACAAUACAAAGAGAUCAGUCCUGCGCUCAAACUCCCAUUACUCCUGAGCGGCAGCAAUGACUAUAG